GAGUUUGAUCAUGGCUCAGGAUGAACGCUAGCGGCAGGCUUAAUACAUGCAAGUCGAGGGGCAGCGCGGGUAGCAAUACUUGGCGGCGACCGGCAAACGGGUGCGGAACACGUACGCAACCUUCCCAAAACUGGGGAAUAGCCCUCCGAAAGGAGGAUUAAUACCCCGUAACACAAUUAAGAGGCAUCUCUUGAUUGUUAUAGCUCAGGCGGUUUUGGAUGGGCGUGCGGCUGAUUAGGUAGUUGGCGGGGUAACGGCCCACCAAGCCAUCGAUCAGUAACUGGUGUGAGAGCACGACCAGUCACACGGGCACUGAGACACGGGCCCGACUCCUACGGGAGGCAGCAGUAAGGAAUAUUGGUCAAUGGACGCAAGUCUGAACCAGCCAUGCCGCGUGAAGGAUGAAGGCCCUCUGGGUUGUAAACUUCUUUUAUCUGGGACGAAAAAAGGGGAUUCUUCCUCACUUGACGGUACCAGAGGAAUAAGCACCGGCUAACUCCGUGCCAGCAGCCGCGGUAAUACGGAGGGUGCAAGCGUUAUCCGGAUUCACUGGGUUUAAAGGGUGCGUAGGUGGGCAGGUAAGUCAGUGGUGAAAUCUUCGAGCUUAACUCGGAAACUGCCAUUGAUACUAUCUGUCUUGAAUAUCCUGGAGGUGAGCGGAAUAUGUCAUGUAGCGGUGAAAUGCUUAGAUAUGACAUAGAACACCAAUUGCGAAGGCAGCUCACUACGGGAUGAUUGACGCUGAGGCACGAAAGCGUGGGGAUCAAACAGGAUUAGAUACCCUGGUAGUCCACGCCCUAAACGAUGGAUACUCGACAUAUGCGAUACACUGUAUGUGUCUGAGCGAAAGCAUUAAGUAUCCCACCUGGGAAGUACGACCGCAAGGUUGAAACUCAAAGGAAUUGACGGGGGUCCGCACAAGCG
rnacentral:rRNA from 1 species